AACGAACGCUGGCGGCGUGCCUAACACAUGCAAGUCGAGCGCGAAAACCCCUUCGGGGGCCAGUAGAGCGGCGCACGGGUGAGUAACACGUGGGUAAUCUGCCCUCAGGACUGGGAUAACCCGGGGAAACUCGGGCUAAUACCAGAUAAGACCACGCGGCGAGAGUCGUGUGGGAAAAGCGGAGGACCUCUUCGGAGGCUUCGUACCUGUGGAUGAGCCCGCGGCCCAUCAGCUAGUUGGCGGGGUAAUGGCCCACCAAGGCAAAGACGGGUAGCUGGUCUGAGAGGAUGAUCAGCCACACUGGAACUGAGACACGGUCCAGACUCCUACGGGAGGCAGCAGUGGGGAAUCUUGCGCAAUGGGCGAAAGCCUGACGCAGCAACGCCGCGUGAGUGAUGAAGGUCUUCGGAUCGUAAAGCUCUGUCGGAGGGAACGAUGCCCAGGUUGGCUAACAUCCAACAGGGGUGACGGUACUCUCAAAGGAAGCACCGGCUAACUCUGUGCCAGCAGCCGCGGUAAGACAGAGGGUGCAAGCGUUGUUCGGAAUUAUUGGGCGUAAAGGGCGCGUAGGCGGUCUCGUAAGUCAGGUGUGAAAUCCCGGGGCUUAACCCCGGAAGUGCGCCUGAUACUGCGAGACUUGAGUCCUGGAGAGGGCGGUGGAAUUCCCAGUGUAGAGGUGAAAUUCGUAGAUAUUGGGAGGAAUACCGGUGGCGAAGGCGACCGCCUGGACAGAGACUGACGCUGAGGCGCGAAAGCGUGGGGAGCAAACAGGAUUAGAUACCCUGGUAGUCCACGCCGUAAACGAUGGGUACUAGGUGUCGCGGGUAUUGACCCCUGCGGUGCCGACGCUAACGCAUUAAGUACCCCGCCUGGGAAGUACGGCCGCAAGGCUAA
rnacentral:rRNA from 1 species